rnacentral:rRNA from 1 species
CGCCUCCUGCGAACCCCUACGUAUAGGAGGUCCAGCCUGCCCAGUGACUAUAAGUUCAACGGCCGCGGUAUUUUGACCGUGUAAAGGUAGCGCAAUCACUUGUCUUUUAAAUGAAGACCUGUAUGAAUGGCCAAACGAGGGCUUAGCUGUCUCCCCUAUCAAGUCAGUGAAAUUGAUCUAUCCGUGCAGAAGCGGGUAUUAAAAUACAAGACGAGAAGACCCUUUGGAGCUUAAGGUACAAAUCCACCUACGUUAAACAGCUUCCUAAGAAAGCGUAAACCUAAUAGAACAUGGAGUUUUACCUUCGGUUGGGGCGACCGCGGAGAACAAAAAAUCCUCCUAGUGGAUUGGAAACUUCCCUAGAACCAAGAAAGACACUUCCAAGUCACAGAAAAUCUGACCAAAUAUGAUCCGGCCACCCAGGCCGAUCAACGAACCAAGUUACCCUAGGGAUAACAGCGCAAUCCCCUCUAAGAGUCCAUAUCGACGAGAGGGUUUACGACCUCGAUGUUGGAUCAGGACAUCCUAAUGGUGCAGCCGCUAUUAAGGGUUCGUUUGUUCAACGAUUAAAGUCCU